rnacentral:rRNA from 14 species
GCCAGCAGCCGCGGUAAUACGGAGGGUGCAAGCGUUGUCCGGAUUUAUUGGGUUUAAAGGGUGCGUAGGCGGGUCUUUAAGUCAGUGGUGAAAGCCUGCAGCUUAACUGUAGAACUGCCAUUGAUACUGGAGGCCUUGAGUAUACUAGAGGUAGGCGGAAUUUAUGGUGUAGCGGUGAAAUGCAUAGAUACCAUAAAGAACACCGAUAGCGUAGGCAGCUUACUGGAGUAUAACUGACGCUGAUGCACGAAAGCAUGGGUAGCGAACAGGAUUAGAUACCCU